UUUCUUAUUUUUUCUAUUUUCAUUGUAUUUUAUACAAUUUUCUUAAAUCAAGAAACGAAGUAAAGUAAUGUAGCAUUUUUGUAAUUAAAAAUAAAAGCAGAAAACAUUUUCUCAAUCCAAAUAACCUCCAGGGAUUCCAUUUUUUACUUUAUAGAUGUAACUCUAGCAGCUGAAGCUAUUUUCAUUUUGGUUGGUGGGCUAUCAAGCUAAGAGGUUUAUUGUCUGGAGGAUAAGAAAAGGCAAAGUUGUUGAAUAUAAUAAACGUAGGAGGUUGGCUCCACCGGCAAUGCAGAGUAUGGACAGAUAAUGGUUAAGAAAUGUUGCUAUAUAUAUAAACGGAGAAAAGUAGAAGUACAAGUAUGCUCAAGUGUGCAUGCUUGUGACUUGAUUAUUUAUGAAUAUAAGAUGGAAGUAGGUUUGAGUGGAGUGAAGAAUGCAUCAAAAAAAUGUUCAUGUAACACCAAAAAAAACAUGGGGAAUAAUUAAUGCGAAAUUAUUUUAGUUUAAUUAGAUGUUUUAGGUUUGAAUUUUUUA